rnacentral:rRNA from 1 species
GACGAACGCUGGCGGCGUGCCUAAUACAUGCAAGUAGGACGCAGUUGCGAACGGGUGAGUAACGCGUAGGUAACUAACUAUUAGAGGGGGAUAACUAUUGGAACCGAUAGCUAAUACCGCAUACUAGUCGCUGGACCUGCGUUGUAUUGACUAGUAUGUAGGGUAAUGGCCUACCAAGGCAACGAGACAUAGCCGACCUGAGGGGGUGAUCAGCCACACUGGGGCUGAGCCACGGCCCAGACUCCUACGGGAGGCAGCAGUAGGGAAUCUUCGGCAAUGGGGGGAACCCUGACCGAGCAACGCCGCGUGAGUGAAGAAGGUUUUCGGAUCGUAAAACUCGGUUAUUAGAGAAGCGGUAUCUAACCAGAAAGCAACGGCUAACUACGUGCCAGCAGCCGCGGUAAUUC